CUCUGUAUUGAGUUUGUUCAAAAUGAGUUAGAGCCUUGUUGAGAGAUUUAUCAUGCUCCUAAGAUCAAGACAUUUAUUCAGAAAGAUUCACACUUCCGAAGUAUUAUUGCAUUUGACGCAUGGGCUAUGCAAAAAUAAAGAUAUUUCGAGGAAAUAAAAAGGAGCAAGUACUCGAUAACCUCGCAGAAAAAUGGACCAGUGUCCGGUAGUAGAAUUAGGGGUACCUCGGUAUCCACUUAAAAAAGAAGAAGAAAAAGAAAAUGAUAGCCCAUGGUCCCUCUAAUAAGCAAUAUGCCAGCAAGAGUUGACAAAGUUUUUAACUUCCAAAGUCUUUGAUCUAAGAGUAUGGCAUUCCCCUCCUCGGAUCCCGUUUUGAUCAGGCAAUAAAUGCAAAGUAAGUAUGCUUGAGAAUUUUUUCAAAUUAAAACAGCCUC
rnacentral:lncRNA from 1 species